GUUUACGGCCAUACCACCCUGAGAACGCCCGAUCUCGUCUGAUCUCGGAAGCUGAGCAGGGUCGGGCCUGGUUAGUACUUGGAUGGGAGACCGCCUGGGAAUACCAGGUGCUGUAAGCU
rnacentral:rRNA from 1 species